rnacentral:rRNA from 1 species
ACUGCUCAGUAACACGUGGAUAACCUACCCUUUAGGACUGGGAUAACCCUGGGAAACUGGGGAUAAUACUGGAUAGGCAAUUUUUCCUGUAAUGGUUUUUUGUUUAAAUGUUUUUUCGCCUAAGGAUGAGUCUGCGGCCGAUUAGGUAGUUGGUUAGGUAAUGGCUUACCAAGCCGUUGAUCGGUACGGGUUGUGAGAGCAAGAGCCCGGAGAUGGAACCUGAGACAAGGUUCCAGGCCCUACGGGGUGCAGCAGGCGCGAAACCUCCGCAAUGUGAGAAAUCGCGACGGGGGGAUCCCAAGUGCCAUUCUUAACGGGAUGGCUUUUCUUUAGUGUAAAAAGCUUUUGGAAUAAGAGCUGGGCAAGACCGGUGCCAGCCGCCGCGGUAACACCGGCAGCUCUAGUGGUAGCAAUUUUUAUUGGGCCUAAAGCGUCCGUAGCCGGUUUAAUAAGUCUCUGGUGAAAUCCUGUAGCUUAACUGUGGGAAUUGCUGGAGAUACUAUUAGACUUGAGACCGGGAGAGGUUGGAGGUACUCCCAGGGUAGAGGUGAAAUUCUGUAAUCCUGGGAGGACCGCCUGUUGCGAAGGCGUCUAACUGGAACGGUUCUGACGGUGAGGGACGAAAGUUAGGGGCGCGAACCGGAUUAGAUACCCGGGUAGUCCUAACUGUAAACGAUGCGGACUUGGUGUUGGGGUGGCUUUGAGCUGCUCCAGUGCCGAAGGGAAGCUGUUAAGUCCGCCGCCUGGGAAGUACGGUCGCAAGACUGAAACUUAAAGGAAUUGGCGGGGGAG